GCCCGCUGGCCAAUCCAGAGCCACGUCAUUUAUUGAGCGACAUUAAUUUCAACCAGUGAGCAGUGGUGACGUGUGUGAUUGAAAUUUAAAUUGACCAGUAGGGAUGAUGAGUAUCUUCGUAAAUACCACUUGAAAGAAUUGCAACCUAUGAAAUAUUGAAUUUCCUAUUCUAAAGGCGUUUGCGAAGGAAUUACUGGAUGAUAUCUAAAAGCAGUGAAAGACAGCAGUUCAGGUUUACUGUCGGCGUAAAAAUCCAAUCGCAGGGCUUGUAAACUUUCACAAUACCUUCACAAUGCAUUAUAAUGGUCAGUACAUGCUUCUGGAGGAUUGCCGGAGACAGGGAUGGCGAGCGCAGUGCCGUCCAGUGCAAGUAGGCUGCAGAGGCUUCGCCGGCUGCUCUCUCUAUAGAGUUUACACCUUGCUGGGCAUGAGUGGGCCACUCAGAAGGACAGCCAUCAGAACUGCAAUUAAGGCAGCAGAAAGAACUUCAAGGUGGCUAUAGAUUAAGAAGGGUGACCGUUGCUUAAUGCUACUGGGACGCAAAAAGGGGCUUGAUCAACCCUGGCUGGGUCAUCUGGGUGAAGCUGUAUGAUGUCGUGAGACCAGCUGAAACACGCUAUGAGCCCAGGAAACAUCACGGAUGAUGCGUCCCAGCACAUCCAGAAUACCCAUCUUCAUUCAUUGGUGUUCCAUAGCUGUCGGCCCAGCACUGGGUGCAGUGAACCUGCAGCCUGUCCAAGAGUGGAAAGGGCAGACGGCAGUGUAUGCAGGACACUCAGUUGGUGGUGGAAAUCCAGCUCACAACC